rnacentral:rRNA from 8 species
CCUGGUGUCUCUAGCGGUGGGGCUACACCUGUUCCCAUCCCGAACACAGCAGUUAAGCCCACCAGCGCCGAUGGUAGUACGAUACAAUCGUGCAAGAGUAGGUCGAUGCCAGGA